rnacentral:rRNA from 1 species
UUAUCGCGCGAUCGCCUUGAGUUUGAUCAUGGCUCAGAACGAACGUUGGCGGCGUGGAUUAGGCAUGCAAGUCGAACGAGAACCGGGGAGCAAUCCCCGGGGAAAGUGGCGAAAGGGGCAGUAAUGCGUGGAUAACCUACCUCCGGGACGGGUAUAGCCAUUCUAACGAGUGGGUAAUCCCCGGCGAUUCGGUUGAGGGGCAUCUCUUGACCGGGAAAUGUGUAACGCCUGGAGAGGGGUUCACGUGCUAUUAGCUAGUUGGUGAGGUAACGGCUCACCAAGGCAAAGAUGGCUAGCGGGUGUGAGAGCACGACCCGCGCCACUGGCACUGAGACACUGGCCAGACUCCUACGGGAGGCUGCAGUCGAGGAUCUUCGGCAAUGGGCGCAAGCCUGACCGAGCGACGCCGCGUGCGCGAUGAAGGCCUUCGGGUUGUAAAGCGCUGUCGAGGGGGAGGAAAACCCGCAAGGGUCUGACCUAUCCCUGGAGGAAGGACGGGCUAAGUUCGUGCCAGCAGCCGCGGUAAGACGAACCGUUCUAACGUUGUUCGGAAUCACUGGGCUUAAAGGGCGCGUAGGCGGGUUCCCAAGUCGGUGGUGAAAUCUUUCGGCCCAACCGGAAAACAGCCGCCGAUACUGGGAGUCUUGAGGGAGGUAGGGGUCGAUGGAACUUCCGGUGGAGCGGUGAAAUGCGUAGAUAUCGGAAGGAACGCCGGUGGCGAAAGCGAUCGACUGGACCUUUUCUGACGCUGAGGCGCGAAAGCAGGGGAGCAAACGGGAUUAGAUCC